AGAGUUUGGAAUCAUGGCUCAGGACGAACGCUGGCGGCGUGCUUAACACAUGCAAGUCGAACGGAAAGGCCCAGCUUGCUGGGUACUCGAGUGGCGAACGGGUGAGUAACACGUGGGUGAUCUGCCUUGCACUCUGGGAUAAGCCUGGGAAACUGGGUCUAAUACCGGAUAUGACCUCUGACUGCAUGGUUGGGGGUGGAAAGCUUUUGCGGUGUGAGAUGGGCCCGCGGCCUAUCAGCUUGUUGGUGAGGUAAUGGCUCACCAAGGCGACGACGGGUAGCCGACCUGAGAGGGUGAUCGGCCACACUGGGACUGAGACACGGCCCAGACUCCUACGGGAGGCAGCAGUGGGGAAUAUUGCACAAUGGGCGCAAGCCUGAUGCAGCGACGCCGCGUGGGGGAUGACGGCCUUCGGGUUGUAAACUCCUUUCGCCAGGGACGAAGCGCAAGUGACGGUACCUGGAGAAGAAGCACCGGCCAACUACGUGCCAGCAGCCGCGGUAAUACGUAGGGUGCGAGCGUUGUCCGGAAUUACUGGGCGUAAAGAGCUCGUAGGCGGUUUGUCACGUCGUCUGUGAAAUCCUGCAACUCAAUUGUAGGCGUGCAGGCGAUACGGGCAGACUUGAGUACUACAGGGGAGACUGGAAUUCCUGGUGUAGCGGUGAAAUGCGCAGAUAUCAGGAGGAACACCGGUGGCGAAGGCGGGUCUCUGGGUAGUAACUGACGCUG
rnacentral:rRNA from 1 species